rnacentral:rRNA from 1 species
UACGAAGGGGGCGAGCGUUGUUCGGAAUUACUGGGCGUAAAGGGCGCGUAGGCGGCCUGCUAAGUCGAACGUGAAAUCCCCGAGCUCAACUCGGGAACUGCGUCCGAUACUGGCAGGCUUGAAUCCGGGAGAGGGAUGCGGAAUUCCAGGUGUAGCGGUGAAAUGCGUAGAUAUCUGGAGGAACACCGGUGGCGAAGGCGGCAUCCUGGACCGACACUGACGCUGAGGAGCGAAAGCCAGGGGAGCAAACGGG